rnacentral:tRNA from 1 species
GGGUAGUUAGCCAAGCGGUUUGGCGGUGGACUGUUAAUCCAUGUUCGAAAGAACGACGUAGGUUCGAAUCCUGCACUGCCCGCCA